GUUGGAGACUUCAGAGAUGGAUUGGUGCCUUCGGGAACUCUGAGACAGGUGCUGCAUGGCUGUCGUCAGCUCGUGUUGUGAAAUGUUGGGUUAAGUCCCGCAACGAGCGCAACCCUUAUCCUUGUUUGCCAGCAAGUAAUGUGGGGAACUCCAGGGAAACUGCCGGUGAUAAACCGAAGAAAGGGGGGGACAACUUCAAGUCUUCUGGGCCCUUACAAGAGGGGUUACCCACGUGCUACAUGGGCGCAUACAAAGGGCGGCCAACUUGCAAGAGUGAGCAAAUCCCAAAAAGUGGGUCGUAUUCCGGAUUGAAUUCUGCAACUCGACUCCUUGAAGUCGGAAUCGCUAGUAAUCGUGGAUCAAAAUGCCACGGUGAAUACUUUCCCGGGUCUUGUACACCCGGA
rnacentral:rRNA from 1 species